AAGCUCAUUUUGUAGCAAUACACCGCUGAUAAGGUGCUGCAUGGCUGUCGUCAGCUCGUGCCGUGAGAUGUUGGGUUAAGUCCCGCAACGAGCGCAACCCUUGUCCCUAGUUGCCAGCACGUAAUGGUGGGAACUCUAGGGAGACUGCCGGUGACAAACCGGAGGAAGGUGGGGAUGACGUCAAGUCCUCAUGGCCCUUACGGCCAGGGCUACACACGUACUACAAUGGUCGGUACAGAGGGUUGCCAAGCCGCGAGGCGGAGCCAAUCCCAGAAAACCGAUCCCAGUCCGGAUUGGAGUCUGCAACUCGACUCCAUGAAGUCGGAAUCGCUAGUAAUCGCGAAUCAGCUAUGUCGCGGUGAAUACGUUCCCGGGCCUUGUACACACCGCCCGUCACACCAUGGGAGUUGGCUGCACCAGAAGCAGGUAGUCUAACCGCAAGGAGGACGCCUACCACGGUGUGGUCAAUGACUGGGGUGAAGUCGUAACAAGGUAGCCGUAA
rnacentral:rRNA from 1 species